rnacentral:lncRNA from 1 species
UGGAAUAUGGCUGUGUUUCCAUCAGCCUGAAUUCCUCAUUCUCCGGAUUCCUGUUGCCCCUCUCUUACCCACAUGUAACUGUUCUCUUGAGAUGAGGAAGUUGAGGCACAAGUAUUUGAAAUAGCUUGACUGUCACACAGCUAGCAAGAGAAGAAGGCAUCUUCCAGAGUCCAUGCUCUUAAAAAAACUUGAAGUCUUUAGUCCAGGUAUACUCUGAGAGAACUACAAGAGUCAUAACAUAAAAUCUCCAGGAAAAGUGACCUAAGCUCAGCCUCAACUCUGUCUACCACUUAGAAACAACUGGAAGAAAGAAUGCCAUACAGAAGGAAUGCAUAGCAUCCCAUAGGAUAGACUGAGGCUUUCAGGUAUGACCCACAGAUAUUACUGCUAAACUUUAUCAAAUAAAGAAAUAGGAGGCUUUGAACUCUGAGCAAAAGACCAACUGAACAGCUAAACAGGUCAUCUUCACACGCUUUGGAGAGUAAUGGCAGAGAAAGUUAUUUUAAUUUGCUUGCCACAGGAAGUCCUCGAUUAUCAUCAGUCAUUUGACAGAAGAAACUAGAAUCAAACACAUGAGACAGAAUCUGACUCCAUCCAGAUCACUCUCUCGCUGUGUAGAGGAUGGGUUUGAGGAGCAUCCAUGGGGAG